rnacentral:rRNA from 1 species
GGGUCAGUAGGUUGGUCGUGCCACCGGUACGUACUGGUCUCACUGAUUCCUCCUUCCUGAAGAACCGUAAUGCCAUUAAUUAGGUGUUGCGGGGAAACAGGACUGUUACUUUGAAAAAAUUAGAGUGUUUAAAGCAAGCUAACGCUUGAAUACAUUAGCAGGGAAUAAUGAAAUAGGACGAUCGAUCCUAUUUUGUUGGUUUCUAGGAUUGACGUA